UACGUAGGUGGCAAGCGUUGUCCGGAUUUACUGGGCGUAAAGAGCGUGUAGGCGGUCCGAUAAGUCCGCUCUGAAAGCCCGGGGCUCAACCCCGGGAGGCGGGCGGAUACUGUCGGGCUAGAGUCCGGAAGAGGCAAGUGGAAUUCCUGGUGUAGCGGUGAAAUGCGCAGAUAUCAGGAGGAAGACCAGUGGCGAAGGCGGGUCUCUGGACAGUUCCUGACACUGAGGCACGAAGGCCAGGGGAGCAAACGGG
rnacentral:rRNA from 1 species